GAGAAUAGAACUCACUUGCUCAGUUAGGAAGACCUUUUUAGGCACAUGUGUCCUAGAUUUUCGCUUUUGAGUACAAAGGUCUUUGAGAAAUUUGGCAUAGGAGGGAACUUGUCUAAUAGCAUCAAGAAGCGGGAGAUUGAUUUUGACUUGUUUGAAAACCUCCAUCAUCUCCUCUAGUGAAGUUCCCUUUUUGCCAAAGGAAGCGGGUGAAUUAAGAGCUUCAGGAAAUGGAGCCUUUGGGAUGUGAGUUUUGGCAGAAGGUGGACUAGCUGAA
rnacentral:lncRNA from 1 species